rnacentral:rRNA from 1 species
GAAUUCGCCCUUAGAGUUUGAUCCUGGCUCAGGAUGAACGCUGGCGGCGUGCUUAACACAUGCAAGUCGAACGGGGUACCCCCAAAGGAGUUUUCGGACAACUGCGGGGAAUACCUAGUGGCGGACGGGUGAGUAACGCGUGAGUAACCUGCCUUGGAGUGGGGAAUAACAGCUGGAAACAGCUGCUAAUACCGCAUAAUGCAGUUGGGUCGCAUGGCUCUGACUGCCAAAGAUUUAUCGCUCUGAGAUGGACUCGCGUCUGAUUAGCUAGUUGGUGGGGCAACGGCCCACCAAGGCGACGAUCAGUAGCCGGACUGAGAGGUUGGCCGGCCACAUUGGGACUGAGACACGGCCCAGACUCCUACGGGAGGCAGCAGUGGGGAAUAUUGGGCAAUGGGCGCAAGCCUGACCCAGCAACGCCGCGUGAAGGAAGAGGGCUUUCGGGUUGUAAACUUCUUUUCUCAGGGACGAAGCAAGUGACGGUACCUGAGGAAUAAGCCACGGCUAACUACGUGCCAGCAGCCGCGGUAAUACGUAGGUGGCAAGCGUUAUCCGGAUUUACUGGGUGUAAAGGGCGUGUAGGCGGGAAAGCAAGUCAGAUGUGAAAACCAUGGGCUCAACCUGUGGCCUGCAUUUGAAACUGUUUUUCUUGAGUACUGGAGAGGCAGACGGAACUCCUAGUGUAGCGGUGAAAUGCGUAGAUAUUAGGAGGAACACCAGUGGCGAAGGCGACUUUCUGGACAGUAACUGACGUUGAGGCACGAAAGUGUGGGGAGCAAACAGGAUUAGAUACCCUGGUAGUCCACACCGUAAACGAUGGAUACUAGGUGUAGG